UUUGAUCCUGGCUCAGGAUGAACGCUAGCGGCAGGCUUAAUACAUGCAAGUCGAGGGGCAGCACGGGUAGCAAUACCUGGUGGCGACCGGCAAACGGGUGCGGAACACGUACGCAACUUUCCUUCAACUGAGGAAUAGCCCAGGGAAACUUGGAUUAAUACCUCGUAAUAUUAUGAAGUGGCAUCACUUUAUAAUUAUAGCUCCGGCGGUUGAAGAUGGGCGUGCGCCUGAUUAGGUAGUUGGCGGGGUAAUGGCCCACCAAGCCUACGAUCAGUAACUGGUGUGAGAGCACGACCAGUCACACGGGCACUGAGACACGGGCCCGACUCCUACGGGAGGCAGCAGUAAGGAAUAUUGGGCAAUGGACGCAAGUCUGACCCAGCCAUGCCGCGUGGAGGAUGAAGGUCCUCUGGAUUGUAAACUUCUUUUAUUUGGGAAGAAACCCAUAUUUUCUAAUGUGGUUGACGGUACCAGAUGAACAAGCACCGGCUAACUCCGUGCCAGCAGCCGCGGUAAUACGGAGGGUGCAAGCGUUAUCCGGAUUCACUGGGUUUAAAGGGUGCGUAGGUGGGCAGGUAAGUCAGUGGUGAAAUCUCCGGGCUUAACCCGGAAACUGCCGUUGAUACUAUCUGUCUUGAAUAUCGUGGAGGUUAGCGGAAUAUGUCAUGUAGCGGUGAAAUGCUUAGAUAUGACAUAGAACACCGAUUGCGA
rnacentral:rRNA from 1 species